rnacentral:rRNA from 1 species
AUGUUCCUGCGGCACAGCCAUCCCGUCGUGCACCCUGACCCGGCGGUUACCGCUCCGGCCGCGCAGGGGCAGGGGCCGGUGGCUGCUGCUCCGGCUGCGGUGGCGCAGGCGCAGGGACCGGUGGCUCCCGCUCCGGCUGCGGUGGCGCAGGGGCAGGGGCAGGGGCAGGGGCAGGGGCAGGCGGCAGCGCAGGCGGCGCAGGCGCAGGGACAUGGCCCGGCUCCGGCUCCGGCCGCGGCGGCGCAGGGGGCGAACGCGAACGGGAACACGCCGCCGCCCGGGGUGCUGAUGGUGGACCCGCGGGGGGCGCCGGGGACGCGCUGGGGCCUCGCGGCCCGCCUCGCGCAGGCGCUGCUCGCGGCCGCCGCCGUCGCCUUCAUGGCCUCCACCGACGACUUCCGCACGNNNNNNNNNNNNNNNNNNNNNNNNNNNNNNNNNNNNNNNAUGAACUCACUCACUGUUGUUCUUUUGAGCAGCCUCCUGGUAGCAGCAGAGUCUUUGCAAUGCCUCUGGAGCCUCGCCCUGGCCGCCGUGGACGUCUACGCGCUUCUUGUGAAGCGCUCCUUCCGGACACCCCGUGCUACCACCAUAUAUUCCACCGGGGACUGGGUCACUGGAGCACUGAGCUUCGCUGCAGCGAGUGGGUCAGCAGCCAUGACCACUCUCAUCAACAACGACCUGCUACUGUGCUCGGAGAACCACUGCCCGACCUAUAUGGCCGCCACCGCCAUGGCUUUCUUGAGCUGGUUCGCCAUCGCGCCGUCCUGUGUCAUUAACCUCUGGGCGGCGGUCUACAGCGUGCAGAGAGCAUAG